ACGAACGCUGGCGGCGUGCUUAACACAUGCAAGUCGAACGGAAAGGCCCUGCUUUUGUGGGGUGCCCGAGUGGCGAACGGGUGAUUAACACGUGAGUAACCUGCCCUUGACUUUGGGAUAACUUCAGGAAACUGGGGCUAAUACCGGAUAGGAGCUCCUGCUGCAUGGGGUGGGUUGGAAAGUUUCGGCGGUUGGGGAUGGACUCGCGGCUUAUCAGCUUGUUGGUGGGGUAGUGGCUUACCAAGGCUUUGACGGGUAGCCGGCCUGAGAGGGUGACCGGCCACAUUGGGACUGAGAUACGGCCCAGACUCCUACGGGAGGCAGCAGUGGGGAAUAUUGCACAAUGGGCGGAAGCCUGAUGCAGCAACGCCGCGUGCGGGAUGACGGCCUUCGGGUUGUAAACCGCUUUCGCCUGUGACGAAGCGUGAGUGACGGUAAUGGGUAAAGAAGCACCGGCUAACUACGUG
rnacentral:rRNA from 1 species